AGCAGCCGCGGUAAUUCCAGCUCCAAUAGCGUAUAUUAAAGUUGUUGCAGUUAAAAAAGCUCGUAGUUGAAUUUCGGGAUUAGUACGUUGGCCGUGCCUUAGGUACGUACUGGUGUUACUGGUUCCUACCUUCUGACGAACCAUCAUGUCAUUAAUUUGGUGUGGCGGGGAAUCAGGACUGUUACUUUGAAAAAAUUAGAGUGUUUAAAGCAGGCUCGCGCUUGAAUACAUUAGCAUGGAAUAAUGAAAUAGGACGUUGACCCUAUUUUGUUGGUUUCUAGGAUUGACGUAAUGAUUAAUAGGGAUAGUUGGGGGCAUUAGUAUUCAAUUGUCAGAGGUGAAAUUCUUGGAUUUAUUGAGGACUAACUACUGCGAAAGCAUUUGCCAAGGAUGUUUUCAUUAAUCAAGAGCGAAAGUUAGGGGAUCGAAGACGAUCAGAUACCGUCGUAGUUUUAACCAUAAACUAUGCCGACUAGGGAUCGGAUGAUGUUAUUUUUAAUGUACUCAUUCGGCGCCUUAC
rnacentral:rRNA from 1 species